rnacentral:rRNA from 1 species
UACGGAGGGUGCAAACGUUGCUCGGAAUCAUUGGGCGUAAAGCGCACGUAGGCGGCCUGUUAAGUCGGAUGUGAAAGCCCCGGGCUCAACCCGGGAAGUGCAUUCGAAACUGGCGGGCUUGAAUAUGGAAGAGGGUCGCGGAAUUCCCGGUGUAGAGGUGAAAUUCGUAGAUAUCGAGAGGAACACCGGUGGCGAAGGCGGCCAACUGGACAGAUACUGACGCUGAAACACGAAAGCGUGGGGAGCAAACAGG